AAAAAACUCUUUUUUGAGCAUUCCAUGAGGAGAAGGUUGACAAAGUCAUCGAGGCAGAUCUGAAAGGCACAUUCAAAACUAACAAAUUGCCAAAGAUCGAUACAUUUCCAGACAUAUUCUCCAGGUCUUCCCAAGGAUCUGCUAUGACCAAAAACUCUUUGAAAAUCAAGAAGAAGAAAUGUGGUAAAACCAUUGAUGACAUUUUGAGCUCUCCUGAACCCUUUGAAGACAAAACUGAGAAAAAGAGAAAAAACAAAAGGACAGUUGACAAGUUUCAAGAGGACGUUGAGAAGGACUUUGAAUGGCUAUCGAUCAGCAACAGCCACACUCUCCUCAGCAAGGAGGUCCAUGGGUCUGUGGAGUCCACCAAUUCUUUUGUCACGCAGAUUGAUGACAAAAAGAAAGAAAUCCUUGGCGAUUUCCCAAAGACUGUGGUUGAGCUUCAAAUGGAAAACCUAACCCCCGAAAAUCCCAAGUACAUGGAACCCAAGAUUUCUCAAAGGCCCGUUCUUGUCUCAAAGAUAAGACAAAUGACAAAGUGGCCAAGUCAUCCAAGCAUGUCCAAUUUACUGUGGUCCGAAAACUCUUCUUUGACGUUCUGGGCUUUCCAGAAGUCAUCGAGGAACAGAUUGACGAAGUGUCAAGGAAGACAUGACUGGAUAUAAUUACCAAGAGACUGUGGAAGCACUUCCAGAGGAAGUUGAGGAGCAGCGCUCUGUGUCCAGUGAAGACGACUACACUCCCUUCAGUGAGGAAUCUGAGAUGUCUGUUCAGGAGGAUGAGGAGAUGUUCCUCAGAGCUUCUCUUGAAGAGGCCUUGGAGAGAGAUGCAGAAAUAAGUGUUUCUCUCCAAGAGAUCUAUGACGAAGUCAUUGAAGAACAGAUUGACGAAGUCGUUGAGGAACAGAUUGACGAAGUCAUCGAGGUAGACAUGA